GUGUAUGUAUGGGGCUGCAGGGGAGGACGGACUGAUCUGAAAAUUAAUGAAGCCCAAACUGAAGACUACCGCGGGAGGAUGCACCUUUCAGAGAGAUGUUCUUCUCACUCUCACACGCACACAUGCAUGCAUCUCAUGCAUAUACGCACGCAUGCACAACACAUCCCCUGAUGCAUUCCUCUUCCUGCAGCUAGUCUGUGUCCUUUCCUCAUCAAGGGCAGGGAGAAAGGCGAUGUAUGGAUGUAGAUCUCUGGAUGAGUGUCCGUGCACAAACAAGACUAUAUUGCUAGGAGCUAAGUGUGCACCCGUGUGCAAAAGCGCUGGAGUGUCAAAGGCUGUUGUGCUUGCGUGUGUUGUGUGUGCGCGCCCGCGCGUGAGACGACCGGAGCUGAGGGAAUUGAAACAGGCAGAAAAAUGAAGUACAACUAUUGGUUUAGGAGAAAAAGAGCUUCCAACAUUGCUUUUUCAGAACCGCAAAUCUUCAGAAAUGGUCAGGCAAAGCCGAUGAAAGCAAUUAAGACGCUUCUGAUUUGUUUGCUUUUCUGUCAUUCUUAUUUACCUGGUAUAUGUGUGUAUGUGUAUGUGUCUGUGUUAUUAAAUUUGUUACCUAAUAGGGGGUUGUGGCGGCUGCAUCAUAGUAAUGUAUAUUUAUCCCGUCAUACGUGGCUCGAACAUGAAAUCAGGAUUGAAUUUGGGGUUUUGCCGGUUGGUUAGUUUGGUUUUGCUUUGCUUAAUCAUUACUAGGUGGUUUGGGAGCUGGGGGAAGGAGGGAAGAGGAGGAGACGAUUCCUCUCUAUCUUCCACUCAUUUGUAGAACUGUGUAGUUCUUUGAGAAGUUGCUAACACCCUAUCAUUCUAACUUGCAAUCCUUUAUUUCUAGUUCUCUCUUCCCUUAAGAGGUAGAUAGGAAGAUUUGAAAGGAAUACUGUCAUUUCCCCCUCUACUGAGUGUAAACAGCCUUUCCCUCAAAGAGGAAAUAGUGAAGAUAAGGGAGAGGAAGGAUCGGAGGUUGCAAGUUACUGCCCUUCCUUGCACUCACUCAGCCAACUCUCCCGGAAAAGGGGGCUGAGCGCUUCGCUGGAAUUAUUUGUAAAUAAUAGUGACGGCACAGUACCUUGUUUAUAUGGACAAGCACAUUACUGAGGAGGCCUUUGCUGCUGAUGGAUUGCACUAGUUCUUAGUGCAAUCGCCUGGAUCCAGGGGCCUGAGAAGCAGCAGCAGCCCCAGUCGCAGCAGCAGCAGUGGCAGUCUUGGUAUUGAGUAAGGGACUCAGAGCUCCCACCCUCUGAAGCCAAUGCACUUCCUUUAAAAGGGCCACUCGGGGAAGUAAAGCUACCAGCCAGAGGCAGCGAAACAGCACAGACAGACAAACCAGCAACAACACAAACUAAAUAGGGGAUCCGACUCAACUGCGUUUGUUUCCAAAAAAUCAUAAUACCCAAGGACAGUAAAAUGAACUCUCCUUCUUUCUUCCCUGGGAAGAGCACGAUGCUUCUUCAUUCCACAUCCCUUUCUUACCUCCUCUUCCCCUCCUCAAAGAAAAACUAACUCAAUUAGAAAAGGAAUAAAGAAAUAAAAAUCACAGCUA